ACGGCGGACGGGUGAGUAACACGUGGAUAACCUACCUAUAAGACUGGGAUAACUUCGGGAAACCGUAGCUAAUACCGGAUAAUAUUUUGAACCGCAUGGUUCAAAAGUGAAAGACGGUCUUGCUGUCACUUAUAGAUGGAUCCGCGCUGCAUUAGCUAGUUGGUAAGGUAACGGCUUACCAAGGCAACGAUGCAUAGCCGACCUGAGAGGGUGAUCGGCCACACUGGAACUGAGACACGGUCCAGACUCCUACGGGAGGCAGCAGUAGGGAAUCUUCCGCAAUGGGCGAAAGCCUGACGGAGCAACGCCGCGUGAGUGAUGAAGGUCUUCGGAUCGUAAAACUCUGUUAUUAGGGAAGAACAUAUGUGUAAGUAACUGUGCACAUCUUGACGGUACCUAAUCAGAAAGCCACGGCUAACUACGUGCCAGCAGCCGCGGUAAUACGUAGGUGGCAAGCGUUAUCCGGAAUUAUUGGGCGUAAAGCGCGCGUAGGCGGUUUUUUAAGUCUGAUGUGAAAGCCCACGGCUCAACCGUGGAGGGUCAUUGGAAACUGGAAAACUUGAGUGCAGAAGAGGAAAGUGGAA
rnacentral:rRNA from 1 species